GACGAACGCUGGCGGCGUGCUUAACACAUGCAAGUCGAGCGGAGCGGCGAACGGGUGAGUAACGCGUGAGUAACUGCCCCCCUCUCUGGGAUAACAGUUGGAAACGGGUGCUAAUACCGGAUAUGGGGGGUUGCCUGGCGUCCUAUCAGCUGGUUGGUGGGGUAGGGGCCUACCAAGGCGAGGACGGGUAGCCGGCCUGGGAGGGGGACCGGCCAAAUUGGGCUGAGAUACGGCCCAAACUCCUACGGGAGGCAGCAGUGGGGAAUAUUGCACAAUGGGGGAAACCCUGAUGCAGCAACGCGCGUGCGGGAUGACGGCCUUCGGGUUGUAAACCGCUUUCAGCCAUGACGCGGUAGUGGCAGAAGAAGCACCGGCUAACUACGUGCCAGCAGCCGCGGUAAUUC
rnacentral:rRNA from 1 species